GAUGAACGCUAGCUACAGGCUUAACACAUGCAAGUCGAGGGGAAACGGCAUUAAGUGCUUGCACUUUUUGGACGUCGACCGGCGCACGGGUGAGUAACGCGUAUCCAACCUGCCCCUUACCAGGGAAUAACCCGUUGAAAGACGGACUAAUGCCCUAUGCAGUCCUUUGACGGCAUCAGAUUAGGACUAAAGAUUCAUCGGUAUGGGAUGGGGAUGCGUCUGAUUAGCUUGUUGGCGGGGUAACGGCCCA
rnacentral:rRNA from 1 species